ACACUUACCUGGCAGGGUAAGACUUAUCCAUUGCACUCUGGAUGUGCUGACCCCUGAGAUUUCCGCAAAUGCAGGAAACUUGACUGCACAAUUUGAUGUAGUGAGGACUGCAUUGUGCUCUCCCCU
rnacentral:snRNA from 11 species